CCCGCUGAUGACAUGGUGACGAAGGGAAACAAACCCCACCGGCAGGAGCGAGGCUGGCUUGUUCGCACUAGUUUAGCUGACCCAUUAAAAUCAGAUCCUUCAUUAAAUUAACACAUCCUACUUCUCCCGGCGACGGGCAGCGGCGGCCGCGGCGAAGGAGGAGAAGGGGAUGACAGGUUGCGCCCAGAGGGAUGUAUAACGGGGAAAUCCUCUCCGCGCCGGUGUAGGGUCGUCGGAGGGAGAGGGUCGCUGGUGACUGGAACGGGAUGCAAUGGUGCAGGUCGAGAACUUUCAGAAAAGAGGGUGGCGGUGGCUUCACCACACUAUCUAGUUUCAGUGGAAAUCAUUGACUAAGGUCGACGACCAGGAUGCACUCUCUAUGCUGAUCUCCAAAGUUCGGGCUUCGGCUUCUCAGUUAUGCAGACAAGAGCAUGAUGAUUAGUUGCUUUUCCUUUGGGCCGGCAGCUUAGCUUUAUUUGGGCCUUUCUCUUCCGGCCUGCGUGUCGUGUACUGGCGAGGGAGCCAUGUACCUGACUGUCUUCUCUUUCGUUUGAACCGUCGUUGGGGUCUGGCUGGUGUGUGGUACGUUCUGUUAUGUGGUUGCUACCUGCCUUAUGGCUUUAUUUAUAAAGUCGGGUGUAUGCCUUUCCUCUAAAAAAAGAUUAUGUUUCAUUUCAGUUAAGUACGACAGAGGAGUACUCCCACCUUGAAAAGAAGAAACUCUGAAUAACGUCUCAGUAGAAACAAGUGGAUCAGUGCCUUGGUUGGGCAUUGCGGUUGUGCAGCCUAACAACCCAAGUUCAAUUCCUAGAAUUGACAAGUGAUACAUAUGGGUUUUCCCCAUUUAUUGAGGAUUAAGCUUGGUCUGUGGUGGAACCACCCAUCACAGAACUAUCGCUCAGGCCGACCCCCUCAGCGCUGCCACCCCAGGGCGGCGCUAGGGGGAUCAGAUCCCAGCGCCGCCAGCCUCCCGCCCCACAGCGAAAGAUCCUGUCGCCGUUGCCACUGGCGUUGGCCGCGGCAGCGCCCGGUGCUGAAGCGCUGAGGCAGGAGGAGGCGGCGGCAACCACUCGAGGCGGUUGGGGCACCUCGGGCUGGGGGCUUCGCACCAUGGCCAGGGCGGCUCCCUGACCAUGUGGCGACAACCGAUGACCCCAUGGCUGGUGGUGCUGGCGAUGGUAGGCAUGGCGGCGGCCGCAGAUCUGGAUCCCACCUAGAUCUGUCGUCGAUUCUUCGCUUGGAUGGUCGGCGGCGCGAUGAGGGCUCUGGUGAGAGGAUGGAGGAUCUCCGCCGGAGUACCGGCGGCGACAUACGUCUUUUCAUGGCGAAGCUCCACAUGGUUUCAGCCAGCCGCGAGAUCGGGAUGACGCGACUUCCAGCCAAAAUCGCGCCUGACUGUGGUCUUGGCGGACGAUGGUGGUGUCUCUGACGUCGUUUUCUUCUCGGGGCAUCGUUGUUGCAGGUCACGUCAACUCGAUCGGGAUGUUUCAAGGGAAACACUAGAUAUAGGCCUACCGGAUCGGACGAUGACGGCGCCUUUGGUGUCGUUCUCCCACAUGGGGGCAUCGUCUUGGAGCAAGCGCUGGCUGGAGGGGACAAGAGGAGGAGCGGUGUUACAUCUACCGCAAGACUGACGACGGAUCCCGGCGGCAUGGCGCUGCGGUGUUUCGGCGAUGGGCGCGUGUGGAUGGAUACGUGUACGAUGGUGGCGUUGUCUUGGCGCCGACGACAGGUUGUCAAGGUUGGUGCAUCAGUACCUGCUCUAGAGAUGGAUCGGUGGAAGACGGCGGCAGCGACCUCUGAGAGUGCGCCGGAUCGGUAUGUGACCCAGUCCCGACAUUGUGGCUUGGCUGGGGCAUCUAGCUUUACAUGUUAGAAUUUGGUGUGAUGUCUGUUUGGUAUUUGGCUCAGACAUUCGGCACCCCUUCAUCAAGGGAAUAGGAGUAGCGACAGGUGUUGCCAAAAUGGUGGCUUCAGGCUUACUGAUGUAUUACUUUGUAAGAUCUUUAUGAAUAAUUAAUAAAAUGGUUAAAGUGCAUCGCCCAAUGCAGUGGCUGAGAUA